rnacentral:lncRNA from 10 species
ACUUCACUGGCAUUAUUACUGACACUACAAUAAAGGUGAAAUAGUGUAUUUUCUUUGCACAAAUACUCAAGUGGAAGGAGAAAGAAAGGGAGGAAGAGUCAAAGGGAAGGGCAAAGGGCAAGAGAGAGAGAAGACUGGGGAGCGCAAGGUUGAGGAGAGAGCAAAACCACCGAGGCAGUGUCUGGAACUCAGCCUGUCACUCCAGUGGCAAUGGAAGGACUCUGGCCGAAGGGCCCAAGCACGCUGAUAACCCUUUGGGACAAUGUAUAAAUGAUUCGAAGGGUUUCCCAGGCCACUGUCAAGGAUGUGGCGACAGCACCCUCGAGAUUCUAGGGGAAGCAACUGAAGAAUUAGAGGCCACACAAAAACAUGGACUACAGAAGAGUGAAGGAAUGGAUGAAAUCGUCCAAAAGUUCAUGUACCCAAAUUUAUGGAGGAUUUAGAGGGUUUUUGUGGUUUUAAUUUCUACUAUAGAUGUUUUCACCUCACAGGCUCAU